AUUGAUCCUUCCAUUUUUAUGGUUGAACCUCCUAUGAUGAAAAAAAAAAAAAAACUAAAAAAAAUUUUGAGGAAAACUAAAAGGUCAAAUUUAUAUUACCUUGUUAUCUUUAUAAUGACCCUGAGGAGGC